CGGGUGAGUAACGCGUGGAUAACCUGCCUCACACUGGGGGAUAACAGUUAGAAAUGGCUGCUAAUACCGCAUAAGCGCACAGUACCGCAUGGUACGGUGUGAAAAACUCCGGUGGUGUGAGAUGGAUCCGCGUCUGAUUAGUUAGUUGGCGGGGUAACGGCCCACCAAGACAGCGAUCAGUAGCCGACCUGAGAGGGUGACCGGCCACAUUGGGACUGAGACACGGCCCAA
rnacentral:rRNA from 1 species